UUCCGGUUGAUCCUGCCGGAGGCCACUGCUAUCGGGAUCCGACUAAGCCAUGCGAGUCGAGAGGGUUCGGCCCUCGGCGAACGGCUCAGUAACACGUGGGUAACUUACCCUCUGAUCCGGGAUAACCCCGGGAAACUGGGAAUAAUACCGGAUAGAUCGAGAAACCUGGAAUGGUUCUCGAUCGAAAGGGAUCGCCUUCGGGCGAUACCCGUCAGAGGAUAGGCCUGCGGCCGAUUAGGUAGUUGGUAGGGUAACGGCCUACCAAGCCGACGAUCGGUACGGGCCGUGAGAGCGGUAGCCCGGAGAUGGAUCCUGAGACACGGAUCCAGGCCCUACGGGGCGCAGCAGGCGCGAAACCUUCGCAAUGCGAGAAAUCGUGACGAGGGGAUCCCGAGUGCGGGUGCAUUGCACUCGCUUUUCCGAAGUGUAAAAAGCUUCGGGAAUAAGGGCUGGGCAAGACUGCUGCCAGCCGCCGCGGUAACAGCAGCAGCCCGAGUGGUGGCCGCUAUUAUUGGGCUUAAAGCGUCCGUAGUCGGCCUUGCAAGUCCUUGGUGAAAUCUCAUGGCUCAACCAUGAGGCGUGCCAAGGAAACUGCUUGGCUUGGGGCCGGGAGAGGCCAGAGGUACUUCAGGGGUAGGGGUGAAAUCCUAUCAUCCCUGAAGGACCACCAGUGGCGAAGGCGUCUGGCUGGAACGGGCCCGACGAUGAGGGACGAAAGCCAGGGGAGCGAACGGGAUUAGAUACCCCGGUAGUCCUGGCCGUAAACGAUGUAGGCUUGGUGUUAGGACAGCUACGAGCUGUCCUAGUGCCGGAGGGAAACCGUUAAGCCUACCGCCUGGGGAGUACGGUCGCAAGGCUGAAACUUAAAGGAAUUGACGGGGGAGCACCACAAGGGGUGGAGUCUGCGGUUUAAUUGGAUUCAACGCCGGGAA
rnacentral:rRNA from 1 species